rnacentral:lncRNA from 1 species
CCCAAAUCUUCAACGCCGUCCCAACAGUGUUGUGGAGUAAUGCAACGUAGAAACGCAUGCAGGGGUUUGUGCAAUUGGGAGAUGUUAGGAAAGCCCCCACCCCACCCCCAUACAGAAGCAACUGGUGAAGAUGCUUUUCCCCUCAGGACUGCCCCAGAGGACAUGGCUGGGAGAGAUUCAAGUGCAGAAGGACCAAAGCUUUGGCUGAUGGAUUCAUUCAUGCAUACAUACGUGAAUACAUUUGUUCAUUCAUCCCUCUUGAGCUUCUACCGUGUCCCCUGCACUUUAGAGAUAAAAAGAUGAAAGAGGUGCAGUCCUUGCCUUACUUCACCCGCUGGUCCCUGGCUGGGCGGUGCUUCCACAGGCCCCUGAGUCAGCUCACAGUGGUAAGGCCCGUGAAGGAGGUUGCCCUGUGCAAGAGGAAGAUUCACCCUGAACGAAGAUCUCUGCCAAUCCUCCUCUAUUUUGUAUGUGGGUCGCUGCCACAGCAUGGCUGAUGAGUGGUGUAGGCCCAUGCCUGGGAUCCAAACCCAUGAAGCUGGGCCACCGAAGUGGAGCAGGCAAACUUAACAACCAUGCCACCAGGCCAGCCCCUCAAUAUUUUUUAUAUUGAUUACAUGUUGAAAUGAUACUAUUUUGAAAAUAUUGGGCUAAAUAAAAUAUAUUAUUAAAAUUAAUUUUACUUGUUUCUUUUUUUUAACAUCAUGACUAGAAAAUGUAAUAUUACAUUUGUGACUG